CCCCCGCAGCGCUCUGUCGCCGCUCCCCGGCCGCAGUCUCGCCCCGCCGCAGCGCCCCGUGCCCGGCGCGGUGCGCAGGGCCGGCACCGCAGCCCCGGAGCGCUCUGUCCUGCCGGGGCUCCACCAGGACCUUCCUCUCCACCGUCUCGACCUGCUGCAUUUUCCCCAUGUCCAUUGCCUGCUUCCUGAAGUAGGGGAGACCUGUCAGACCGCUGGGCUCAUCUACAUCUCCGGUCCCCAGCGAGCUGGUUCCACCAUCUGAUCCACUUCAUUUCAUUUCAUUUCUCUCCUCCGAAGCAAACAGGACUCGCAGGAAUCCAAGCCAACAAUGAGAGUAUCUCCAAGUGCGCUCGGUUCGCUGCAGCUGCCAAGGGCGGGAGCCCCGGGGAGGGCAGCGCGCCCCCGUCCCACCCCGAGCUGGACCCUGCCUCUGCUGGGGAAGGUGGUUUUUGACGGCCGCCUCUGAUCUCGGAGGGCUCUGGGUCAGUCUCCACACUUACACCCUGAAGCGCCCACCCAGGCUUUUCUGACAAAAUACCUAAUUAGGGUUGAAAGGCCGUUCCGGUUCUUUGCCAAGGCGUACGGCCUGCAGAGAACCUGUCCCUGUCACGCUGCAGGCUCCUCCCUGCUGCCACAGGUGGGUGUUUCUCGUGGAAAGCUGCAGAACCCUCGGUCCUGUCGGCAGCGCUGCCCUCGGCACGACACAAGACACACAACACAAAGAGAGAGACAGACCUAGAACAGCAGUCAGGACACUUAGUGUAUUUAACAUGGUUCAGAAGUGCAGAGCCCAUUUUUGGGGAGACACGUCACCAGGCACCAGCAUAUGGAAGCUGUGCCCAUGGAGGACAGCCCCUGGGAUCCUCCUUUCCUUCUGGGAUUGCUACACAUCCAGGGUCUGGGCAGGGUGUGCAGCAAUCCCACAAGCAGCUCCUGUGUACUCCACAGGCAACCCUCGAGCCUGUGUCCCCACUGGGAGUCAGGACUGCUGCUCACCAAGGGAUGGAGAGCAUUGGCUAAAGCUGGCAUCACACUUCCCAAGUUACCUGUCCUCUGGCAGCAGAAGGGAUCCCAAAGCUGCUCCUCUUCAGGCCUUUCCCAAGUCUCCCCAGCAUUUUCAGAGCAGGUUUCAGCCUGGAAAUACCCCAGGGCUCCUGGGACACCCAACACAGAUGUCAUGGAAACUGAAGGGGAGACCCCUGGACAGCGAGCGGGGGCUGUACAGAGGUGGUGGCUCCUGUGUGGGAGCAGAUGCUAAAAUUUGGCAUUUGAGGUCUCAGCACCAUCAGAAAAUCCUCUUGACUUCACCAACCCAGACUUUGGUUUUGCAAGGACCAAGUGGCAGCCUGUGCCCAUCCUCUGUGAUGGGAUUGUCUCCAUUGGGGAAUCCACCUCAAGAGCUGGGGUACUCUUUCUUCUUGUCUUGUUUUGCAUUUUUAGAUGAAGCUUUUAGUGUGUUCCCUCAUGUCCUGGUGAAGCCAAAUUUCCCAGAUGCAUGUGUAGAUGCACAUACCACUAUUAACAUGCUGGAAAAUCCUCUCUCCUGCUGUGAUGUUCACUCGCUUGGUUCCACCCCAAAAUCCUGGGAUGUCCAUUGCCUGGCCCGCUUAUCUUGCUGCACU